GGACAGAUGGCCGAGCUGGUUAUGGCGCCAGGUUAAGGUUUCCUUAACAACAAUUUCCUGGUCACGAAAGUGGCGUGGGUUCGAGUCCCACUCUGUUCA
rnacentral:tRNA from 1 species